CGUAGCUCAGCUGGACAGAGCAUGGGACUUCUAAUCCUGGGGUCGCAGGUUCGAAUCCUGUCGGGG
rnacentral:tRNA from 1 species